rnacentral:tRNA from 1 species
UGGCCCGUGGUGUAACGGUAGCACAGCAGAUUUUGGUUCUGUUUGUCAGGGUUCAAAUCCUUGCGGGCCAA